GGCCGGGCGCGUUGCAAGGGCGACCGCGUUUCGUAAACGCGGGUUUGAGGGUUGGAAUCCCUCCCCGGCCA
rnacentral:tRNA from 1 species